AACUUCAACACAACACAACUCCUCCAAUCUAAACCCGCUCCCAAAUAACUUUACAUUCAUACGGGGUGACGAGAAGCCCAAAGCUUCUAACACAUACGCCAGCCCGAAACCUUCUCGGAUGAAACUCAUUUCUCGCAAAAGGACCAGAAUUAACCUUCCUCUUAAAUCUCAGGGACUCAUAAUUACACACUUAAAGAACGGGGUGUUACAAUUCUUCCCCACUUAAAUUAGGCUUCGUCCUCGAAGCCUGCAACAACUCUAAUUCAGAACUUCCCCUGCAACGCACUACCUGGCACUAACCAAACCAGGUCCCUCAAGGUACAANCCGAAACCCAACUUUAUCUUUCUUGCUGGCGGGACGACACAACUUCAGCCCUAGAGCAGCUCGCACGAGUUCUCCACCGCAAUCUCAUAACCGCACCAAACUGGCUCUAGUUUCCUCGGGUUAGGAAAACCCCGAUACACUAAUGACACUUUCAAACAUCCUUCCGGAUGAAUUUUCACCACAAAAACAAAUCCAUCUGGAAUUCCGAGAUUCCAUCCAUGCAUUCCUGCCGAGCCUCAGCAACCAUUCAACCCGGAUGUGCUCCCAUACCACUGCCGCAAUCUCGCUGCUCAAUGACCAUAAUUGGACCACUCCCAUCAUAACCCUGCGCUGCUACUUCCACCUCCGUGGAUUCGCACUCCCUCUCGGAGUUACACUCCUCUCCCUUCCCUUACCAAGGAAAACCACUUGGCUGCCUUGACACUACCACAAGUGCCACGGCGCUCGCCCAAUGCUACACCACUCCUUCAUAGCGUAUCCGCUAUCCAUCCAACACACAUACUCUUACUCUAAACGCAGGGGCUCUCAAGCCCAUGCACUAUCUCAACUAAUCAAGAUCACUACCAGGGGCCAGACCUUCUUAUGCUAUCACAUUGCCACAUAUACAAUCCAUAUCCUCGAAUUGAUCCAACAAUACCUGCAGAGUCUUCAGCAUGACUGGACCGCCUCACUAGGCCUUCAGCAAAUCUGGACCACUCUCAGAACCUUCAGCCAAUCUGGACCGUUCUCAGCACCUUCAGUUUAGCUGGACCGUUCUCCGAGCCUUCGGCCUGACUGGUACGCCCACCGGCCCUCAGUCUAUCCGGACCGCUCAACUAGCAUUCCUCAUUCCGAGUUAUCUCUCUGGUAAAUCCUCCCAUGCACACCGUUCUAUCCCUCUAGGGGUUCCGAACUCUAUCUCCAUCAUACAUACUCGGUCCCGGCCCAAACCCAGGCCUUCCCCAAUCAAAUGCCAUAGGUCUGUAUCCCGCCCCGCAUGCCCGACACUUACUCAUACUAGCCUACACUCUGGGCUGACAGAACACUGCUGAAUCCCAAACAGCUAAGCAACCUCACAUGCUCAUCGAUCUUCCGGAGAAUUUUCCAAUUCUCCCCCACUUAGGGUACUGACUAUCAAUCAUCGGUCGCCAUCACCGACCUCCCAAAACAACUCUGCACAAAACCAACAUUUAUACGCGGGCUGAUUCCCACUAGCUCUUACAACCUUCACGAAAAUCACAUUUCCACACGGAUCAUCCUGCUCGAAAGAAACUCGAUCUGCAGCUAACCACUCCUUAGGAAGCAGAUGCUUUCCGUCAUUCAGACCAAAAGCCAAUUUCCACUAAUCAUCCUCAUAAAUAAUAACCAACGAAAUUUCCAUACAAUAACCCAUAACCAAACCACAACCCUCAAAAACAACGAAUACCGCACCAAAAACCACACAAAGAUACUAAUACAUAAACAGUACUCCACAAUAAUCACAAGAUAACAAGACAUCAAGAAGGAAACAUACCCGCAGCUGCAUCCGGCACUGCUCUGACCUCCUCUGCUGUAAGCUGAAAAGCAUGACCCUGAGCCCUUGGGGGCUCCGCUCCACCCUGACCUCCACCUGUAAUCCUCAAAGUGGCUGGUGCUGGAGCCUGCACCGGUCCUGCAGCAAGCUGUGGAUAGUUGACCCUCAAAUGUCCAACCUGAUGACAAUGAUAACAAAUCCUAAAAUCCCGAACCGGCGCUAACUGCCGACAAUCCCUCGCAUAGUGCCCCUCCUUUCCGCAUUUGCGACAUGCACCACCUGACCUACAAACUCCGGUGUGACCCCUCCCACACUUCCUGCAAGCGUGGCUGCUCUGAUCUCCCAGCCUAGAAUCAACGGUCUUGGACCGUUUCGGCGCCGGCGACGACUGCACCGGAGUCUGCCUCAGCUCACGCAACUGUAACUCAAUCUCUAACUCACGCUGCCUGGCGGCCUUCUGCAACUCCAACAAGGUCUCGCACCUCUGCGUAGACACAAACUGUCUGAUAUCCCUCUUGAGCAUGCUCAGAUAUCGAGACAUUUGCGCCUGCUCCGAAGCGAACUCAGGGCAGAACAUUGCCCUCUCAGUAAACAUCCUGGUGAUCUCAGUCACCGACUCCGAACCCUGCUUCAGCUCCAGGAACUCCUGAGCCAAUCUCUCCCUCUCAACCCGCGGAACAUAACGAGUGCUGAACAUCUCUCUGAACUGAUCCCAUGAAACCGCAGCCCUCUGCGCAUCCGAAUAUGACCCCGUGGUCAAUCUCCACCAAUCCUUCGCCCCGAGCCUCAACAGGUUCAGAGCACACCUCACCCUCUGAUCAGCAGGGCAUGAACACGUGAAGAAACACCCCUCCACGUCCGAUAACCACCUCAUAGCAACAAUCGGGUCCUGAACUCCAUCAAAGGUGGGAGGCUUCGUAUUAUCGAAGUCCCGAUACUGAAAGCCCCGACCAGCUCCUCCCCCUGCCGCUGCUACAGCCGCUGUAGCCGCCGCGGCAGCCGUCUCUGUGAGAGCUGCAUAGCGCUCAUCAAAAUACUCAACCAUGGCGGUCUUGAUCGACCCGAACAGUUCCGGCAACUCAGCCCGAAACAACGUAGCAAUCUCAUGUCGCAGGAUCUUACGAAUCCUCGCAUCCAACUCGCACGUGCUCAUCUGACCAAUAACCUCGGGCGGCACAGACCCGCCCGGAACUCCCUCUCCUGCUCCCGAUCCUGAACCGGAUCCACUCCCAGCAUGCCUCGGAAUCUCCAUACUGAAAAACAACUACAAAAUCUCAGACACUUCCCACUAUCCCGGGAACCAACUCUCUCAACCCAACCCUAGAGGUCAUGGUUUCCCUGAUACACGUAUGCGUCCUGUGCUUUCGGUAGUACGGGCCCAUACUACCUUCCACACCUAUCCAUAUUUGUAUGAAGUACUACCACAACACCCUAGAGAAAACAUGCAUAAUAACUCUCAACCCUCACCACUAGAGGAACUCUGAAAAUCUCCCACAAGGAAACCCUAGGCUACAGGCAUCACAAAUCAGGCAACAUUAUCAUGAAAUCCUGAAGAUCCCUAGCCUAACACUAGCAUGCUGUUCUAUCAAAGCUCAAAAACAAAUAACAUGCAUGGUAUUUUGGGGUUACUUACUGGCUCCGGCUGAUCGUACCUCCGCGUCCUCCUUUACUCAUUUUGAAAACCAUUUUAAAUACUCUUUUGAAAACUCUCCUCGAUUUGAGACUGGAGUCACACGAAUGUUCCUCCAAUUCACUCAAACCAAGGCUCUGAUACCAUUUUGUAACGACCGAAAAAUUCCAACCAAUUUAAACUUUUCAAAAACAACCCGAUUUCAUUAAAUUAUUACAAAAAGGUUUUCAAUACAAUUUAUUUAGAGUAUUCCCAGAAUCACAUCACAACAUAAACAUGAGGAGCGGUACGAUCACGCCUUCGCCUUGCCACGGUCUCCUGAAGAACCUGAAAAACAUAAAACCACAACUGUAAGCCCGAAAGCUUAGUGAGAUAUCCCCAAAAUACCAACCACAUAUACCAUACACGCAUAACAUGCCAUAACAUAUCCGAUCACAGAACAACCAUGCACUUCGGGUCUACUGUGUGACUGGUCCGCCGCACCGGCCAACAGUCCACCUGGUCCACCCUCCGAGUCUAGCCAUAUACAUCGAGUCUGCAGUGUGAUUGGUCCGCCCGCACCGGGCCUUCAAUCCACCUGGUCCACUCUCUGAGUCUACAGUAUGACUGGUCCGCCCGCACCGGGCCUUCAGUCGGCCUGGUCCACUCUCUGAGCCUCGGCACGUCUGGUCCGCCCUCUCGGGGCCUGCAGCCUAUCCGGACCGCUCGCUGGGCCUUCGGAACAACCGUUCCGCCCUGGGUAUCUUGGCCUACAGCACAAAGCAGGACCCGCCUCAACCCAUCUCCAGUCCAAACAACCAUGUGCACAUAAACAUACAAUCAUAUAACAGUUCACAGUCAACAAACCGAUCAGACAGAUCACAUAGCAUAUCAUCAUCCUAACCAGGAUACCGACCUAACCGGUCACUAGCAUAACAUCACCCUACCUCUCAGGAUACCGAUCUCAAUCGAGUCUCUAACAUAUACCAUCCUAGCUACCAGGAUGCAAACAUAUCAAAGCCAUAACAUAGCAACAAAUACCCGGAUCUCAAUCCGAUAAGGGCCGGCCUUGGUGCCUUAGACCCUGUUGAUAUAAUGAGGAUAACUCACCUCGCGAAUGCCGAUACUCUGGACUGAAGAAACAGACUCUCGAAUCACCAACUCACCGUAAAUCCCGAACUAACCAUCAUAACAAAAUAAACAUUAGGCCAAUCAUACAUCCACUUAUUGGGCCAAGGCCAAAGUCCAAAUCUUAUACAAAGUCCAACAUUGGCCCAAUUUACCAAAUUGGGCCCACCUCACCAAGUGGGCCUAGAUCUAAUGUCCAUAACAAUAAUUGGCCCAAAAUACUCUAUCCAUAAAUUCCCAGACUUGGCCCAAUAACCAACUGUCCACCAACGGCCCAAACUCAAAGCCCAAAAAUGAAAGUCCAACAGGAGGAGUACGCUGGGCGUACCCUCCCUGGUACGCUGGGCGUACAACAAUGAAUACGCGAAUGAGGAUCGGGGCAUUGGCCCGCUACGCGGGGCGUACUCUAAGGCUACGCGGGGCGUAACCCUGAUGCUCAACAAAUCCACAUAAUGACUUAAUGGUUUAAGCUCUUAAGCCCAAACUUCAGAUCCUUAAGCCAAAAAUGAUUAGAACUCAUAAAGUCUCAGACUUUAUCACUUGGGACGUCCUUAAGCACUUAAUCCAAGGUCUUAAUCCAUUAAGAUCUAUAUAUCUCACACAUGGAACAACUACAGCUCUUGGGACCUCAUUUUUCUCACUCAAGACCUUCCUAAAGGUCUGAAAGGACAGAUAAUCUUGACCAAAUCGAAAUAUGCAACAAGGUGAGGACUUUUGGGAAAAGAAUGGGGACAAAGCUUCAAAAUACAUAGAUCUAUACAAUAUGAAGGUCAAGCAAGAAGCUUUAUACCUCAAAUAAGCUCCAAAGGAUGGUAUCUCUUCAGAUCUACAAGCUCCAAUCGUUCCUCUUCUUCCUUGACAACUUCUCUUUUCUCCUUCAAGCCUUUCUUUUGGCAAAAUAAGCUUUCCAAGGUCAAACACACCCAAAUAAUGGAGGGAAUACGAGAUCUAGGGUUUUCUGAGGUUAAGGAUGAGCAUAAGGAGGCUAAGGGGUGAACCAACAUGUUCCUUAUAUAGUGGCUGAUCCUAAAUUAGGGUUUGGAGUUUUUGAGAGUACGCUGGGCGUACCUCUAGUACGCUGGCCGUACUCACCCGGCCAUCCCGCAUACAUCACACCAUUACGCUGGGCGUACGUGCAGCUUACGCUGGGCGUACCUAGCCAGACUUCAAAACACAUGCAUGCCAUGCAUGCAUGGGACCCUUUUUCCACUUAUACCACAACGAGCUAUAAACAAUGAUCAACUUCAAAACACCACAACUCCUCCAAUCUAAACCCGCUCCCAAAUAACUUUACAUUCAUACGGGGUGACGAGAAGCCCAAAGCUUCUAACACAUAUGCCAUCCCGAAACCUUCUCGGAUGAAACUCAUUUCUCGCAAAAGGACUAGAAUUAACCUUCCUCUUAAAUCUCAGGGACUCAUAAUUACACACUUAAAGAACGGGGUGUUACAAUUAAGUUGGACACCCUUGCGUUUGAAUCCUAAAUUCGACACUGGUAGAACCCCUUGCGAUGAUCCCAAUGAGCGGGGUCGAGAGGCAAAAUCCCAAAACCUUAACGAAUUAUUGGACUACAG
rnacentral:lncRNA from 1 species